GGGCUUGUAGUGUAGUGGCUGCAUAUUCCCCUCCGGAGGGAAAGGUCCCAGGUUCGAUCCCUGGCUGGCUCG
rfam:Spizellomyces punctatus DAOM BR117 chromosome Tnknown supercont1.1, whole genome shotgun sequence.